CGGGACGGGUGAGUAACGCGUGGGUAACCUGCCUUAUACAGGGGGAUAACAGUCAGAAAUGGCUGCUAAUACCGCAUAAGCGCACAGAGCUGCAUGGCUCAGUGUGAAAAACUCCGGUGGUAUAAGAUGGACCCGCGUUGGAUUAGCUAGUUGGUGGGGUAACGGCCCACCAAGGCGACGAUCCAUAGCCGGCCUGAGAGGGUGAACGGCCACAUUGGGACUGAGACACGGCCCAGACUCCUACGGGAGGCAGCAUG
rnacentral:rRNA from 1 species